rnacentral:rRNA from 1 species
GUUUUCCAGGAGGAGAAAUGUUCCACACAUUGUAUCUGGAACCAGGACAUCUACGGAGGCAGCAUGUGAGGAUUUCGUCAUGGCGCGGAAGUCUUGAACCAGCAGGUCCGCGUGAGGAAGGAAUGUUUCUUACGGAUUGUAACUCUAGCCGGGGGAAGCAACGUGGCGCCCACGCGUGGCGCAGUGAGAGUACUGGAGAAUAAGCAUCGGCUACUCGUGCCAGCAGCCGCGGUAAUACGGAGGAUGCGAGCGUUAUCCGGAUUUAUUGGGUUUAAAGGGUGCGCAGGCGGCGCGAAAAGUCAGCGGUCAAAGUUCCGGGCUCAACCCGGUGACGCCGUUGAAACUUUCGUGCUGGAGUUCGUGCGAGGGAGGCGGAAUGCGUUGUGUAGCGGUGAAAUGCAUAGAUAUGACGCAGAACCCCGAUUGCGAAGGCAGCUUUCCAGCACGCGACUGACGCUGAGGCACGAAAGCGUGGGGAGCGAACAGGAUUAGAUACCCUGGUAGUCCACGCGGUAAACGAUGAAUACUAGCCCUGCGGCGCGAAUGGGUGCUGCGGGGCAGAGUGAAAACGUUAAGUAUUCCACCUGGGGAGUACGCCGGCAACGGUGAAACUCAAAGGAAUUGACGGGGGCCCGCACAAGCGGAGGAACAUGUGGUUUAAUUCGAUGAUACGCGAGGAACCUUACCCGGGCUCAAACGGCGGGAGACGCGUCCGGAAACGGGCGUUCCCUUCGGGGCUGCCGCCGAGGUGCUGCAUGGUUGUCGUCAGCUCGUGCCGUGAGGUGUCGGCUUAAGUGCCAUAACGAGCGCAACCCCCAUCUUCAGUUGCCAGCGGGCAAGGCCGGGCACUCUGGAGAGACUGCCAGCGCAAGCUGUGAGGAAGGCGGGGAUGACGUCAAAUCAGCACGGCCCUUACGUCCGGGGCGACACACGUGUUACAAUGGCAGGGUCACAGAGGGAAGCCAGGCGGCGACGCCGAGCCGAUCCCGAAAACCUGUCUCAGUUCGGAUCGGAGUCUGCAACCCGACUCCGUGAAGCUGGAUUCGCUAGUAAUCGCGCAUCAGCCAUGGCGCGGUGAAUACGUUCCCGGGCCUUGUACACACCGCCCGUCAAGCCAUGGAAGCCUGGAGUGCCUGAAGUUCGUGACCGCGAGGAGCGACCAAGGGUAAGACAGGUAACUGGGGCUAAGUCGUAACAAGGUAAUCACUGCCGUCGUAACCUCC